rnacentral:misc_RNA from 1 species
GGGCUUGUGAGUGGUGUUUGGAUUGUCUCUGCCGGUUGGCUCCGUGCUCGUCCACCGAACGGUCGGCAGGCAAUCCGCGUCGGUUGCUGUGAGGUGGGAUGGCGCCUUUGAGGCUGGUUCUUGUGUUGCCUACCCCUUUCAAAGGGAAGCAGGCCACUUGCACUCAGCCUCCAUCCGGCGCCCUUCUAAUGGGGGCGCAGGAGGACAACGAAGCACCCCCGUGUUCCACCGAGCCUUCAUCGGACGCGUGGCCCACGGGGAAGUGCAAAGCUCUUGGACCCAGCGUAUGUAUGCCGCGGACGAGGACUCAUGUCCCGGUCCCGAGGGGAACUUCGAUAAAAGAUAUAAUGUGUGACGGCCGCUCCCGCCCCUCGAGGGGGGCGACGGGCGGCCUAGUUGAGGAUUGCUACCUGGUUGAUCCUGCCAGUAGUCAUAUGCUUGUCU